rnacentral:tRNA from 1 species
AGGGAUAUAGUUAAAAUUAUAACUUUUAAUUUGCAAUUAAAAAUUGAUAUAUUAUUUAUUCUUA